CCCCAGACUCCUACGGGAGGCAGCAGUGGGGGAUAUUGCACAAUGGGGGGAACCCUGAUGCAGCGACGCCGCGUGGGUGAAGGAGUAUUUCGGUAUGUAAAGCCCUAUCGGCAGGGAAGAAGCAAGACGGUACCUGACUAAGAAGCCCCGGCUAACUACGUGCCAGCAGCCGCGGGAAUACGUAGGGGGCGAGCGUUAUCCGGAUUCACUGGGUGUAAAGGGAGCGUAGACGGCCAUGCAAGCCAGGGGUGGAAGCCCGGGGCCCAACCCCGGGACUGCCCUUGGAACUGUGCGGCUAGAGUGCGGGAGGGGCAGGCGGAAUUCCUGGUGUAGCGGUGAAAUGCGUAGAUAUCAGGAGGAACACCAGUGGCGAAGGCGGCCUGCUGGACGACAACUGACGGUGAGGCGCGAAAGCGUGGGGAGCAAACAGGAUUAGAUACCCUCGUAU
rnacentral:rRNA from 1 species